rnacentral:rRNA from 1 species
UACGUAGGGGGCAAGCGUUGUCCGGAAUCAUUGGGCGUAAAGAGCGCGUAGGCGGUCCGGUAAGUCCGCUCUGAAAGUCCGGGGCUCAACCCGGGGAGGCGGGCGGAUACUGCCGGGCUAGAGUCCGGAAGAGGCGAGUGGAAUUCUCGGUGUAGCGGUGAAAUGCGUAGAUAUCGAGAGGAACACCUGCAGCGAAGGCGGGUUGCUGGGCUGAUACUGACGCUGAGGCGCGAAAGCCAGGGGAGCGAACGGG